GUCACACCCCAAUUCUUGAAAGAAUAAAUAUAAUCGAGGUGUGAAUAAUUCAUAGAAAUAAACAAGGGAAAAACCUUGUUAAAACCCGAAAUAGGAUAGAAAGUCGGGCUAUGCCCCUUUGGAUCACAAGUUUUGUUUCAUGCUUCUGACAACUGACAUUCAUUAGCAUAAAUUUAGUAGUGAAGAGUCUAAACUCGGUCAAAUAUAUCAUUUGAAAUUUAACAUGAAGAUUUUAAGUUGGGAAAAUAAAAGACUGAUAUGAGUAAUUGCUACAGCGGAAUUCUAAAAUAGGAAUUUAACUCUAGCCUCAGCUCCGUCCCGUCAGCACCGGCCAGCCAACCUGAAAACAUUUGAAAGUAUUUUUGGGCUAAGUACUAAUGUACUUAGUGGGCAUGCAUUUUCUGAAACAUUUCAUAUUUUAAUAAAGACAGUUUAUCCAAUCAUACUUGACAUGACUUAAAAGGUUUUAAAUUGAAAGAACUUCUAAGCAUGUUAAAAUAAUUUUCUUUCAUUUGUGCGCACAUGUCACACUCCCUUUCUGUUACUCGCUGUGAUCCCGGACCUUUUAGCCACCGACGGAUCUCUGUCUCCCGCUUACUUGAACUGAGGGCGUAACCCAGACAAGUUUACUUUGACCUCGGGACGCUACCCAGGCAGGCCUGAUAUUUCUCAUGCUCCGGAACACAUCCAGCCGAGCACCCUUAUAACGCCUCUGGUUAGAGCCCGAUGGAGAUCAACCCACCGAGUCAACUAACAAGUGUACACAAUUCUCAAACAACGUAUUAGGUCAUAAGAGAACCUCAAUUGAUUAACUGCGCGAGCCUUAAACAGAGCAGAGUGCACAUAAACAUUUUAUUGGAUAAACAGUUUUCAUUACAUUAAAUAAACAAUUUGCAUUUCAUUGAAACAUUUAGAGCUUAAUAACUCAAUCAUACUUUGUACAUUUGGAAAGUAAGCCCCACCUGUAUAGGCAAAAGCCUGAAGUAUAACAUAAACCUGAAUCGGAAAAGCAGCGCUAAUCCUCCUGAUCACAAAGCCUACAAGAAAUCUAUUCUCAAUAGGUCUCCUGAAAUCUAAUCUUAAGUCAUGGUGUAGUGCUUAACAUUCUAUGAUUCACUUAGCCGGGUUUUCAAAAUUUAAUAAAUAAAUAAUUGAAAACAUUUCUCUUGAGUUAAGAACACCAACAAUAUUCUUACUCAUCUUUCUUUAAUAAUUGGAAUUAUAAAUAAAACCAAUUAAAUCAUAAAUACUUUUAUUGCAAAAUAUAAUGCAAUUUCAUGUCAUGCUUAGCAUAUAAUAAGUAAUAACUUAAAAUAUGCACAUAAUAAUAAUAUGAUAUUAUUAUGCAAAUUAAAAUAAUUAAUCAAACUUAAUAAGUACUAAUUAAUUAAAAUAGUGCAGUCCAAUUAAAUGGAGAAGCUGCACAGCCCAAUGAAUAAAUUAAUAAAGGCCCAACAGAUUUAAAAAAUUAAAAGCCCAACUGAAACAAAAAUAAAUAAAAUCUCGGCCCAUAACUCGNUAAAUAAAUAGUCCCAAACUCGUUACGCACAUAUACUAAAUCUUUCAUGAAACAUCCUUUAAAAUAAACUUUGAUACAUAGAAAAUAAUUCAACAACUUGAGCUCUUAAGGGGUUGUUUUGCAACAGACACCAAAUCUGCCUCGGAUCUCCAAAUGAGGCUCCAAAAGACAUUCUGGAAACUAGACAUUUCAAGGAUCAUUCUCCAAUUUGAAUCGAAUGAAAAAAAGUUCAAACGAGCAAGAUAUGCCCUCUCAAAGAUGGGUAUUUAACAAACAAAAAUCUGAAAAUUUCAGAUUUCCAGAUUACAACCAAGUCAGUGGGCUUUCUUUAAAAAUUCAUAUCUCCCUUUACAAAACUCCACUGGGAACCCCAAGGGUCAAUCUGGAAACUAGGGAGAGAUCAUAACACUCUCCAGUUGGAUUUACUCCAAGAAAAUUCAUGGUUUAGAAGAUAUGACUGUCUAAAGUUCAGUGCACAAAAAGAGUUCAAGUUUGGCAGAUUCAGAACAUAAAUCGGAAAAACCACUUUAGGCUUCACCAAAAAUUCUAAAACUGAACAAGUAAGUUCCCAACAUGUCAGUGAAUAUUCAGUAGAAAGAUAGGCUUGAGAAUGAAAGAUUUAAGUCGGCCUUUGAGACCUCAAAGUCGUAGGUUUGUAAAACCUACUGGAUGGUACAAGGAAUAAGAACUAGAUUUCAAGAAUUUAUACCGGUUGUUUCCCUUACUAAAAAUGGUGAGGCUGAUGCCAAAAGAAAGAUACGGGAGUAUAGAGUGACAUACUCAAGUUUCAAAGGUUUUCAACGAUUGAAACUUGACUUAUGGCCUCCCAAAGAUGGUUUACCAAAAAUGUAUUCCAGAUGGGCAGUGAUGUUUAAAAAUUCAUAAAUAAAACAUGAGAGCUCUAAAUAUUCUUAAAUUUUACCAUAGUAUAGAAAACAUAUUAAACACAAUACACAAUUAAUUUGGGAAUUUUUGGGAACCGUUUGGAUGGCUGGAAUCGCCUUGCAAUAUACUGCCGGAGCAGUGUGCUUAUGGCAGAUUCGCUGCCUUACCUCAUGCACGGUUUUUCACCCAAUAAACUCUACCAAAAUAAUCAUCCAAAAUCAUAAAACAUAUCCUCACAUAAUAUAGCACACAUAUGUGUAAAAAUCCAUGGUCUUAAAGCAUUUUAUGUUGAGAAAAACCAAAGAAAACUCACCCUCGAAGCACAAUCUUCACUCUAACUUACGCCCUAGGUUUCCCACGCUCUCCCUUACUUUGAUACUACUCUUGGAGCUUAAAGGCUUCUAUGAAUUCCAACUUUGGUUGAAUGUUGCUGUUGUUUCUUUUGUCUAAGAUUGAGCUUUUUCUUGAGAGAGAUAAUUUGGUAAACUCGGGAAUGAAUCGUGUGUGAGAUGAAGUGGAAAGCAUGAUUGAAAUUAUUAGUGAUGAAUGAGGUGUGCUUGAGGUAUAGUGCAGGGGAUUGAUGGUGAUGUUGGUGGUGGAAGUGGGUGGUGAUGUUGAUGGAGUAAGUGGGUGUAGGAGUAGGUGGGAGUAAUAAAAUAAAAAUCUUUCGGGUUGUAGUAUGAAAACGGUAAUAAUCGUUCAGUGUUUGCUUAAAUAAAUAGCUCAUGAAAAUGCUUGAAUGCUAAAUUAAAUAAAUAUGCGACGCACAUAAAUUUAAUAACUAAAUUUACAAAAUAUAUUUUUGUAAAUCGUCUUUGUUGGAAUUAAAAUAAAUUCAUUUUUUUCUCAAUCCGGCGUGAAUCAUCUUAAAUCUAAGUUUAAAAUAAAUUCUAAAUUAAAAAUUAUUCUAGACUUAGCUCGAGGAAACGGGGUAUUACAUCCCUCCCUCCUUAAAAAAAAUUUCGUCCCGAAAUUACAUAUCUUGUAUCUAGCUGGGAUACUAGUCUUUCAUUUCAUUCAUCUCUUUUGUGGCUUUUCCAUCCUGUGAUGGUUCCACUCAUGAGAGAACAAAUUAUUGCUCUAAAACUUGAACCUUGCGAUCAAGUAUCUGGACUGUUUCUCUUCAUAACUUGUCCUGGCUAGGACUCUUUAUCGCUUAAUCAAUGCUUUGGAUAAACACAUACUUUCUUAAUGGAGAAACAUUGUAUCCAAUCUGGGGCAGCCAACUAUAGGCUACAAGGCCUACUUAUCUAGGAUCUCAAAAGUCCUAUAUAACAGGGUUGUAACUUGCCCCUCUUUCUGAAACGUAUAACUCCCUUUGAGGGAGAACUUUGAGGAAAACUCGAUCCCCCAACAUUAAUUCUAACUCGAUCGGCGUUUAUCGGCGUAAGACUUUUGUCUAUCUUGACUUCUUUAUUUUUGCUUAUGUGGUCGACCUUUCAACCAUCUGUUGGACCAGUUCAGACCUAACAGCUUUCUUUCACCCACUUCAUCUUAGUAAAGUGGUGAACUACAUUUUCGGCCAUACAAGACCUCAUCUGGAUUAUUCCAAAUGUUGCUUGAUAACUGUUGUUAUAAGCAAAUUCUUCGAGAGGUAACAAAUUCUCCUAACUUCUACCUUUGUCUGCGAUAAUUGUUCGCAACGAAAAUUUUAGAAUCUGAAUCGUUCUUUCUGACUGUCCGUCAGUCUGAGGAUGGUACGUUGUGCUGAAGUUCAGCUGAGUGCCUAUUGCUUCUUGUAAACUUUUCCAGAAACGUGAGGUGAAUCUGGUGUCACGAUCUGACGUGAUAGAUACAGGUACACUGUGAAGGCGUACUAUCUCUUUGACAUAUAACCUUGCAAGUUUCUCCAAUCCAAAAAGUCAUUUGAAUUGGCAGAAAGUGCGCUGACUUUGAUAAUCGGUCUACUAUGACGCUAUAUCUCUUUUCAUUCCUGUUCACCAGAAAAUUUUCUUUAAAUUCUGGUGCAUCUUUGUGCUGCCUGGAUGUGCAGUGUAAGGAGUAUCAUGAGCCUCGCUCAUAAUCUCGUUCAUUAAUUCUUCUUAUUGUGGGACACACAAUCUUUCACCAACCAUAAGUGCAUUAUCCUUUGCUUCAGUGAAUCCUUUCGUUUUAUUCGUUCUUGCAGCGAGACGCAUCUUCUCCAAGAACCAAUCUUCUUUUUGUGCUUGCACAAUUCUUUCUCUCAAAUCAGGUUUAGCUGUCAGCGCAGCUACACAACCCGAUACUGAAUCUAGGGGAUAAACAAUCUCUAAACUGAGUGAGGCGAACUCACGAAUCAGCUCCUUCUGUUGGGUAAUGAAAUACCCUAGCUUAGCCUUCGUCUUUCGACUCAAGGCGUCAGCUACUACAUUCGCUUUUCCUGGAUGGUAACUGAUGGUGCAAUCGUAAUUCGAGCCAUCUUCGUUGUCUCAUGUUCAAAUCCUUUUGCUCGAAGAAGUACUUCAAACUCUUAUGAUCUGUAAAGAUCUCACACUUAACUCCAUAGAGGUAGUGUCUCCAAAUCUUCAGCGCGUGCACGACGGCUACUAGUUCUAAAUCAUGAGUCGGGUAGUUCAGCUCAUGGGGCUUCAAUUGACGAGACGUGUAUGCUAUCACUUUCUGAUUUUGCAUCAACACGCAACCCAAUCCUAGUUUCGAGGCAUCAGUGUACACCUCAAAUUUUUCAUUCUCCUAUGGUAUUGCUAACACUGGUGCAGUAGUCAGCCUAGUCUUGAGCUACUUAAAACUUUGUUUACAAGCUUCGGACCAAACAUACUUAGUCCCUUUUCUUAAAAGUUGAGUCAUUGGCCUAGCCAAUUUCGAGAAUCUUUCGAUGAACCUUAUAUUGUAACCUGCUGGACCGAGAAAACUUCUGAUCUUAUUAACAUUUGAUGGUGCCUUCCAUUCCUUGACUGUUUCGACCUUGGCGGGGUCUACUUAGAUUCCUUCAGUCGACACUAUGUGACCGAGAAACAUAACUUCCUUUAACCAAAAUUCACACUUGUUGAAUUUGGUAAACCAUUUCUCAUUGCGCAGGGUUUUGAGUACGAUGCGUAAGUGCUCUUCAUGUUGUUCUUCGGUCUUAGAGUAUACGAGGAUGUCGUCGAUAAACACUAAGACAAAACUAUCGAGAUACUGAUGGAAAACUCUGUUCAUUAGGUCCAUGAAAACUGCUGGGGCAUUCGUUAAAUCGAAGGGCAUCACUGUGAACUCGUAAAGUCCAUAACGCGUUCGAAACGCUGUCUUUGGAAUGUCUUCUCUUUUCAUCCUGAGUUGGUGGUAAUCAGAUCUUAGGUCAAUCUUGGAAAACACACCGGCUCCUCUCAACUGAUUUAACAGGUCGUCUAUCCUUGGAAGAGGAUAUCUAUUCUUAUGAGCUUGCUUCAACUUCUUAUAAUCAAUACACAUCCUUAGUGUAUCAUCUUUUCUUUGACAUCUUUAAUUAGUGCUCCCCAUAGUGACAUACUAUGUUGCAUGAAACUAGGUCUGGUGAAAAUUUGGUAAUUCAUUGGGAAAAAUAUCUUUGUACUCUCAAAUCUGUUGAACUUCCUUAAUUGUUUCCUUCGUCCUAAGUCACCUUCUCAGAUUGACUAGGGAAUUCUAACAUCAAACUUUUCUCAUCGUCUUCGUAACUUUCACUUCGAGGAUUAAUGGCACUCCUUCUGCCCUGUAAACUCAUUUUCCCAUUUCCAAAUGGUUAUUUAAUGGGGGUUUCUAAGUUUCCAUUGUGGUGGCGUUCCAACUUUAUUCUUGCUGUAGCUUCUGGCACUUUAGCCAAAGCAUUCACUCUCUUAGCUUGAGCCUACUAGCCUUGGGGUUGGGUUAUACCUUAAGUGUAGUUCUAGUGCUUUCCUUCUAUUUAAGGGUUUCCUCUAUUUCUUUCAUUCUAUUUCCUUUUUCUUUACCUCAUCUUGAGGUGGUAUACAUAUCUUGUUUGUGCGUGAACUUUCUCCUUCUCCAAUUGUUGUAGUGACUCGGUGGUGAGAGUCUCGCUCAUUGCUUGUUCCUUCGUAAUAUCUCUCUGGUUUACUAGGGGAAAUGAAAAUCUCAUGACGCGAUUCAUUUAAGAACUUCUUUACGCAUUUUCUCAUUAUUGUCCACCAUGUGGACCACAUAUUGACAGCUGGUUGAAAACUAAUGACAAACUGAGUAAUUCUAAUCGCUACUAUACUUAUCGUGAUAAAAGGAUAUUCUAUUGUGACAACUAUAUAGUGCGAGUCUCUAUAUAUUGUGAUGAUGCUCUACCUCGAGAUCAAAAAUCUUAAUUGACAAUCACCAAGAUCUUAGUCAUGUGGGCUGGCCAGACCCAACAAAACGAAUCACUCAGUCAAACGGGAGCUUCGCCCCCAAUCAUGUCAACUUCUUAUUCAUGUAAGGCUCUGGUCAAACUUCUAACUUAAAACACUUACUAAUAAGUACUUCAUCAUAAGUUACUGAUACCAUGAAAGUCCAUUCUAUGUCGUUCUAGCCAAGCUAUCACGACUAACAUCAUAAUCAUAAGCAACAUUAGUUCUUAUGUGAAAAACUUAAUCUCACCGCUAUUGAAAUAGCUCAAGUGAAUCCUUAGUUUUAAGGCAUUGCCUCUAUGUUGUAACAUAUCUAUGUUAAACAUUUCUAUCUUACCAAUCCUUACUUAAAUCGAUCAAGCGGUGCUAUCACGAUUAACAUUCUCAAAGCAUUCUUGGGUGGUACUCAAACAGUUUGUAAGAGGAUCCACCAUUCUAAUCGUAUAGGCAGCUAGCCUAAAACGACAACAUAAAGCUUUCUCAUUCGUUCAUUCUCUUUGAAACUUGAAACAUGUUGACAUUAAAUGCCACAUGAAACUUUUCUAUUGCCGGAAAGAUUCAAAGAAUCUAACUCGACCAUACAUCUGGUAUUCGUGAAAGGCUCAAUAGUCCUGAACACGACUUUAACUCAUCUUAUCGUUAAGGGCUCGGGUAGUCCCAAACACGAUACUUACUUAUCUUAUCGUUAAGGGCUCGGGUUGUCCCAAACACGAUACUUACUCAUCUUAUCGUUAAGGGCUCGGGUUGUCCCAAACACGAUACUUACUCAUCUUAUCGUUAAGGGCUCGGGUUGUCCCAAACACGAUACUUACUGGUUACAUGGGUCGGAGACCCAAAAUAACAAUAUGAAAGCGAUUAGCAAUUCAUAACUUAUAGCAUAUGGAAAGCGGUAAGCAAUUCACAUAGCAUCAUUCAUUGAAAGCGCACACUUUUUCUUUUCUUGGAAACAUUCAUAACAUCUGAAAUACAUAUAUGUAUAUUUUUGAAACUAUUAUCGUACCUUUGUUGCGGCAGUGUGACGGCGAGCUGAGGGCUACUGACAUUCUUAGAAGUCUAGAGAUACUAUUCUAGACUCGACAUCAAAAGCUUAUGGUUAUCAGAAACAUGAAAGAAAACUCAUGCUCUGAUACCAUUCUGUCACACCCCAAUUCUUGAAUGAAUAAAUAUAAUCGAGGUAUAAAUAAUUCAUAGAAAUAAACAAGGAACAACCUUGUAAAAACCCGAAAUAGGAUAGAAAGUCGGGCUAUGCCCCUUUGGAUCACAAGUCUUGUUUCAUGCUUCUAACAACCGACAUUCAUUAGCAUAAAUUAAGUAGUGAAGAGUCUAACUCGGUCAUAUAUCAUUUGAAAUUUAACAUGAAGAUCUUAAGUUGGGAAAACAAAAGACUGAUAUGAGUAAUUGCUACAGCGGAAGUCUAACAUAGGAAUUUAUCUCUAGCCUCAGCUCCGUCCCGUCAGCACCGGCCAGCCAACCUGAAAACAUUUGAAAGUAUUUUUGGGCUAAGUACUAAUGUACUUAGUGGGCAUGCAUUUUCUGAAACAUUUUAUAUUUUAAUAAAGACAGUUUAUCCAAUCAUACUUGACAUGACUUAGAAGGUUUUAAAUUGAAAGAACUUCUAAGCAUGUUAAAAUAUUUUCUUUCAUUUGUGCGCACAUGUCACACUCCCUUUCUGUUACUCGCUGUGAUCCCGGACCUUUUAGCCACCGACGGAUCUCUGUCUCCCGCUUACUUGAACUGAGGGCGUAACCCAGACAAGUUUACUUUGACCUCGGGACGCUACCCAGGCAGGCCUGAUAUUUCUCAUGCUCCGGAACACAUCCAGCCGAGCACCCUUAUAACGCCUCUGGUUAGAGCCCGAUGGAGAUCAACCCACCGAGUCAACUAACAAGUGUACACAAUUCUCAAACAACGUAUUAGGUCAUAAGAGAACCUCAAUUGAUUAACUGCGCGAGCCUUAAACAGAGCAG
rnacentral:lncRNA from 1 species